rnacentral:rRNA from 1 species
AGCAGCCGCGGUAAUUCCAGCUCCAAUAGCGUAUAUUAAAGUUGUUGCAGUUAAAAAGCUCGUAGUUGAAUUUCGGGACCAAUAUGUCGGUCGUGCCUCGGUACGUACUGGUGUCAUUGGUUUCUCCCUUCUGAGGAUCCUUGAUGUCAUUAAUUUGGUGUCUUGGGGAAUCAGGACUGUUACCUUGAAAAAAAUUAGAGUGUUUAAAGCAGGCAUACGCUUGAAUACAUUAGCAUGGAAUAAUGAAAUAGGACGUUCGAUUCUAUUUUGUUGGUUUCUAGGAUCGACGUAAUGAUUAAUAGGGAUAGUUGGGGGCACUAGUAUUCAAUUGUCAGAGGUGAAAUUCUUGGAUUUAUUGAAGACUAACUACUGCGAAAGCAUUUGCCAAGGAUGUUUUCAUUAAUCAAGAACGAAAGUUAGGGGAAUCGAAGACGAUCAGAUACCGUCGUAGUCUUAACCAUAAACUAUGCCGACUAGGGAUCGGAUGAUGUUAAUUUUUAAUGACUCAUUCGGCGCCUUA